GCAUUACCAUUGGGCUCAUGUUAGUCAGGUUUUAAUUAAACAAGUCUGAAAGAAGUGUGAAUCUACAUGUGGACAUGUUUCAUUGCUACUGUUUUGGUGAAUUUACUUCAGUCACCUCCCAUGGGUGCAUUUUGCAUUUUGGGUGAACCAAAAACAUAAUCAAGAGUUCAAGUUCAUCAAUGCUGUCUUCAGCUGUGUCUCAUCCACUUUUGCCAGAUAUCCAACCUACUGGUCACUGUGAAGCUCCACCGUGCAGAUGUUGUUUCAGGAGAGAACCAGGCGUCGGUCACGUCAGCUCCGUGACAUCGAAGUGACCGUGACACCGCAGCAAACCAGCAGUGACGGAUGCCUUUUUGUCUUCUGCAGUCAGGCCGGAUCGCCUGACCCACGGACGACUAUAAUUGUACCGACAGGUGACACAUCUGUGGAAACCAGAAGAUGAUGGCGGAGACUACAUAGAUCAUGUGACCUGCGCCUCACAUGCCUCCUCCAAGUAUUGUAAGUGUCUGAAGAGCUUCACUGUUACAGUGGAUGAAAUUACAAAACCAAAAUGGUGUCCU